AGCGAACGCUGGCGGCAGGCCUAACACAUGCAAGUCGAACGGAUCCUUCGGGAUUAGUGGCGGACGGGUGAGUAACACGUGGGAACGUGCCCUUUGGUUCGGAACAACUCAGGGAAACUUGAGCUAAUACCGGAUGUGCCCUUCGGGGGAAAGAUUUAUCGCCAUUGGAGCGGCCCGCGUCUGAUUAGCUAGUUGGUGAGGUAACGGCCCACCAAGGCGACGAUCAGUAGCUGGUCUGAGAGGAUGAUCAGCCACACUGGGACUGAGACACGGCCCAGACCCCUACGGGAGGCAGCAGUGGGGAAUCUUGCGCAAUGGGCGAAAGCCUGACGCAGCCAGGCCGCGUGAAUGAUGAAGGUCUUAGGAUGGUAAAAUUCUUUCAGCGGGGACGAUAAUGACGGGACCCGCAGAAGAAGCUCCGGCUAACUUCGU
rnacentral:rRNA from 1 species